AUGCUGAUAGUACUGUUUGGAAUUGCAAGUCGACAAGAUUUCACCUUUUGGAGCAUGGAUUCAAAUUCCAACAUUGUGGUUGUAACUGGUUUUGGUCCCUUUAGACAAUACCUGGUUAAUUCUAGCUGGGAAGCAGUGAAGGAGCUGUCCAAGAGAGGCCUUGGAAAAAACAUAGAUCUUCGUAUCAUGCAGCUACCAGUGGUUUACCAAAAAGCAAAGGAACAAAUCUUCAGGAUAUGGACAACUCUUCAUCCAAUAGUAAGUAGUUAUAACGUUGGGUAAUUUUCCCCUUCAUUUCUAAAUAAUAUUUUCAGUAGAUCUUUAAAAAGAUCUCCAAAAGAUUAUUGCACAAUGUGUAUCAGGCAGUUCUGGAUAGUGACUGUUAAAAUGGUGAUGAAGGUUCCAAACAACUCUGGAGCACAAAUUAAUUAGCAUGCUACUUUAAUCCUGUGCCAUGUAAACAGCAUAACUGCAUGCAGAACAAAGAAAAAUACAUCUACCUACAUAAAUUGUAGGAAAAAAACGGAGAAAAAAAUUUCAGCUUUGAAGCCUGGAGUUGACUAGACACAACAACAAAAAAAAACAAAAAAAUUUUGUUCUCAUUUAUAACCUCUUAUCAAAGUUAUCUUGAAGCAUGAGCUACAGCAAGACUUCCCACCUCGAAGACAGUAUUUCACAUAAUGCUUGGCACUACUGCAUUACAUGUUUUCAAAAAACAGGUCUCAUUUUUAAUUUCCUGUUAUUCACUCUGGUGGGAAAAUACAGCUUACUGUUCACGUUGGGCUGGCUUCAUCUGCCAAAGCAAUCAUCAUCCUUGAGCAGUGUGGGAAGAACAAAGGCUAUGAAGAGAUGGAUGCUUGUGGUUUUCACCCAGAAGGUGGCUGUUGCAUGCUAGAUGGUCCGGAAAAGAUUGAAUCUACAAUUAACAUGAAGACUAUCUGGAAAAAUAUUUCAGUGGAAGGAAUUGAUAUGAUCUUUUCCAGAGAUGCAGGAAGGUAAACAUUGCAUAUCGAGGUCUCAAAGUAAAAGCAGAAGUAAUUCAAUCAGCUCAUUUAACCUUGAAGAGUCUCUGCAAUGACUUUCCUCUAACCAAAAUCACUUUGAAGUAAAGACUUCCAAGUGUCACAAGUAUAAAAUGAGGAUAAAUUUAAAUUUUAUGUAGAGAAGCCUUUGUGAAAAACAACAGUCAGUAGAUAGUUU
rnacentral:lncRNA from 1 species